CCCGGAUGGUAUCGGAAAGCCUUUUUUGGCGAAAACGCCAUUUUUUCUAAAGCUGCGAACGCGACCGGAGGAAGCGCUUUGCGGCUUUUUAGAAAAAAGCGUUUUUGCUGAAAAGCUUGAAGCGGACAGCCGGAUUAAGG
rnacentral:sRNA from 1 species